UGGCAAGGGGCAGAAGCGGCUGUGCGUGUCCCUGCCCUUGCUUUAUUUCUGAGUUACACCAAUUAGGAAAAAGGUUUUUGUGAAUUUUGCAUGCAGAGACACCAAUACAGUAGCCACCCCAAUGGAAAGUCUUGGAUCUCCUGCUCUUAGAGAACUAGACUUUCCUUUUUCAUUUCAUCUUCACCUUGUCACUGAAUUCAUGGACCUGCUGUGAAGAUAGAAUUCAGAGCUGCUAGACACUCGGAGUCCCUGCACAAGUUGCCUUUUGGAGGCCACACUGGCCCUGCAGCUCAUCGG